AUCCAACUGACGAGUCCUAAACAGGAAGAAAUGUGCGUUCAGGAU
rnacentral:hammerhead_ribozyme from 1 species